rnacentral:rRNA from 1 species
UACGGAGGGUGCAAGCGUUGUCCGGAAUCACUGGGCGUAAAGGGCGCGUAGGCGGCUCAUGAAGGCUGUGGUGAAAGUCCGGGGCUCAACCUCGGAUCGGCCGUGGCGACUCGUGGGCUGGAGCACUGUAGAGGCGGGUGGAAUUCCGGGUGUAGCGGUGGAAUGCGUAGAGAUCCGGAAGAACACCAGUGGCGAAGGCGGCCCGCUGGGCAGUGGCCGACGCUGAGGCGCGACAGCGUGGGGAGCAAACAGG